UGCUCGUUGCCCUGUGCUGAACAUUGAACACAGAACAAGGAGUAUGCGGCAUCCAUCAUGAAGGGCCCUCACCUUCAGGGACAUGCCUUCUUCCCGCUUCUACCUGAAGACCCACACUCAAUGGUUGAUGCGCAGCUCCUUUCUCCUCUGUCAUCUGAUUUCAUGGACUCAUGAACGAUCUCUGAGGUACAGAAAUCACAAGACUGAUGACCAUCUAAGAUGCUGCCUAACCUGCUGAGUUACUCCAGCAUUUCGUAUGCUUUGCUCUGGAUUUCCAGCAUCUGCGGAAUCUCUUGUGUUUGCCACACUGUUUUCCCUCAAGCAUCAUCAACAGAGUGGAUUCCUGAAACAUAUACCAUAUUUUAGAAUUUACUUAGCGUAGUUGGAAUGAAUAAAAUGAGUCAUUGAGCUUUGAACAGAAUAUUUUAAACUCUUACAGAUACAUUCAUGUAUAUAAAGUUCAAAGUACAUUUAUUAUCAAAGUUUGCAUAAAUUAUACAAACUUGAAAUUCAUCUCCUUAGAGACAGCUGCAAAACAAGAAACCCAAAAGAACCUAUUAAAUAAAGACCAACAAACACCCAAUAGGCAGAGAGAGAAAGAAAACACGAAUCGUGCAAACGAUAUGAGGAAGCAACAGCAUUCAGAAUGAAAGUGAGUCCAUAGACACAAAGCCAAGGGCGGCCCAGGGCCUCAGCCUCAGUUCACCCCACAGCAGGGCAAAUUGUCAUGGAGCUUGCAGAUACAAAGUACGGAACAGACAGAGCAGGCCACAUACUCAGCCUCAGUGUCGCAGAGAGCAGAGUAAACAUAAUCGAGCUGCAAAUGGAACUGGCACGUACCUCAGCUUUGAAUGCAUCAAACCAUGAUGCAGUCAGAUCUGAAGCCUUCUAUUGUACGCCUAUAAAAGUUUUUGAGAGUCAAUGGGAACAUGCCAAGUAUCCUCAGCCUCCUGAGGAAGUGGAGGUACUGGUAUUUCUUCUGUUUCCUUGGCCAUGGCAACUGCAUGGUAGGACCAGGACAGGAUUUUGGUCAUUGUCGCUAUCCUAUUGUGCAAUUGUCAAAGUUCAAAGUUCAAAAUACUUUGAUUUAUUGGAGUAAGUUUACCUUGAAAUUCAACUUCUUGCAGGCAGCCACAAAACAAAGAAACACAAUAAAAUCUAUGCAAAACACCACGCAAUAAAGAGCAUCAAAUAUACGAAAAAAACGGAGUUCAAAGUUUAAAGUACAGUUUAUUAUCGAAGUAUGGAUACUUUAUACACUGUUGAGAUUUAGCUCCUUUCAGGCAGCCAUGAAAUUAAGAGCCCCAAUAGAACACCUUAAAAACAAAAGAACACCAUUCAAACACCCAGUGUUCACAGAGAGAAAAAACAUCUUCAGAAGCUUUCUGAUGACUCUGCCAUAGUUGGAUGCAUCAGCAAGGGAGAUGAGGCUGAGUAUAGGGCUACGGUGGGAAACUUUGUCACAUGGUGCAAGCAGAAUCAUCUGCAGCUUAAUGUGAAAAAGACUAAGGAGCUGGUGGUGGACCUGAGGAGGGCUAAGGCACCGGUGACCCCUGUUUCCAUCCAAGGGGUCAGUGUGGACAUAGUGGAGGAUUACAAAUACCUGGGGACAUGAAUGGACAAUAAACUGGACUGGUCAAAGAACACUGAGGCUGUCUACAAGAAGGGUCAGAGCCAUUUCUAUUUCCUGAGGAGAAUGAGGUCCUUUAACAUCUGCCGGACGAUGCUAAGGAUGUUCUACGAGGCUGUGAUGGCCAGUGCUAUCAUGUUUGCUGUUGUGUGCUGGGGCAGCAGGCUGAGGGUAGCAGACACCAACAGAAUCAACAAACUCAUUCGUAAGGCCAGUGAUGUUGUGGGGGUGGAACUGGACUCUCUGACGGUGGUGUCUGAAAAGAGGAUGCUGUCCAAGUUGCAUGCCAUCUUGGACAAUGACUCCCAUCCACUCCAUUAUGUGCUGGUUAGGCACAAGAGUGCAUUCAGCCAGAGACUCAUUCCACCAAGAUGUAACACUGAACGUCAUAGGAAGUCAUUCCUACCUGUGGCCAUCAAACUUUACAACUCCUCCCUCAGAGUGUCAGACACCCUGAGCCAAUAGGCUGGUCCUGGACUUAA